UGGAGACCUGUGUGGGGCAAUCCCUGAGGAGAGAGAUAUCAUCUGUAUCUAAAGCCAAGUGGAGUCCAGUAUGUCUGAGCCACAUAGAAUGACGGGGAAACCUGUUCAGCCGUGUCAUCGCACGCCACUGUGCCUUUGAAGCUGGUCUCUGGACCAAGGGUCAGCAUUAUACACACGCACACACCCAGCGCCUCUGUGUCUACCCAGGUUCAUCGUUCUCACCUGACGAGACAGGAAACGCACGCCAGCCUGAAACUUGAGCUGGGCCUCUUCUCAAACAGAGGCUGUUUCUUCCUUGACGGACGCCCCUCCCUUCGGAUGGAAAGAGUCCUUCUGCCCCCUCACCCUGGGCAGUUCAAGGCUCAGCUGGUUGUAAGUCACAUAUUUUAAAUGUAUUUCAUCUUCCUUUCUCCUCACAUCUAAAAGCAAAUGGUCUAAACUUGCUCCCAGCCGUGCUGCCUCCAAAGACACAGUCCUCAUAAACUGGCCAAGAGG